GCUCCACUUCAUUACAGCACUCUUCGAAUUUGAAGCUGGAGAUGUAGCGGGCAUACAGAAGCAGUUCUGCUGACUUCACACGGCUUCUGGGGUUUAAUCAGCCGAAGGGGAAAGCUUUCGUACAAUUCAAAAUCAGCCGUGGAUGGAAAAUACUGUUGAUAUGAACCAUCAGUGUUCUGCUCAUCAUGGGAGACUGGUGCACUGAAAUGUUGAGUUCCUUCGGGGUACUGUGAGAACUCUGCAGUGUCUGAAUAUAAUGAGGCAAACAACACAGCUCCCCUGUCCAACUGCCAGCGAGAGGUCAACCGCAGGGAUCCAGUCUGGGAAUUGGAUGACUGAAUGGGCUCAUUUUACCUGUUAAGAGUUUGGCACGACACUGGGGAGGAUGCCAAAACUUUAUUUUUCAAGAGACAUUUCUUACCUUUACCGUUUUUGACAAUUUCCUUAAAUGAGAGGACGGGGAAAGUUACAAAACCUUCUGCUUUAUCAAUUCAAACCAACUUAUUAACACUUUUAAAACACUAGUUAUAAGUAUCUAACGUCAACUGAAACAUAAGCUUAAUUGUUAAUUUUGACAGUGUGAUUCAAAAUGUGAUGAAACAA